rnacentral:rRNA from 1 species
CUAGCUUGCUAGGUGGAAGGAGAGGCGAACGGGUGAGUAAUACAUAAGCAACCUGCCCACGAAGACUGGGAUAAUCCUUGGAAACGAGGACUAAUACCGGGAUAGGUUACGAAUUCGCAUGAAUUUGUAAUUAAAGGUUAGAAACACUGGUGGAUGGGCUUAUGGUGCAUUAGCUAGUUGGUGAGGUAACGGCCCACCAAGGCGAUGAUGCAUAGCCGGGCUGAGAGGCUGAACGGCCACAUUGGGACUGAGACACGGCCCAGACUCCUACGGGAGGCAGCAGUAGGGAAUUUUCGGCAAUGGGGGAAACCCUGACCGAGCAACGCCGCGUGAGUGAUGAAGGUCUUCGGAUUGUAAAGCUCUGUUGUAAGGGAAGAAUGAAUUGGAUAGAAUCCGAUUGUGACGGUACCUUACCAGAAAGCUACGGCUAACUACGUGCCAGCAGCCGCGGUAAUACGUAGGUAGCGAGCGUUAUCCGGAAUUAUUGGGCGUAAAGGGUGCGUAGGCGGCUUGUUAAGUUUAAGGUGAAAGAAUGGGGCUCAACCCCAUAAAGCCUUAGAUACUGGCAAGCUAGAGUACUGGAGAGGGUAGUGGAAUUCCAUGUGUAGCGGUAAAAUGCGUAGAUAUAUGGAGGAACACCGGUGGCGAAGGCGGCUACCUAGACAGAGACUGACGCUGAGGCACGAAAGCGUGGGGAGCAAAUAGGAUUAGAUACCCUAGUAGUCCACGCCGUAAACGAUGAAUGCUAGAUAUCGGGGCAACUUGGUGUCGAAACUAACGCGAUAAGCACUCCGCCUGUGGAGUAUGCACGCAAGUGUGAAACAUAAAGGAAUUGACGGGGGCCCGCACAAGCGGUGGAGUAUGUGGUUUAAUUCGACGCAACGCGAAGAACCUUACCAGGCCUUGACAUCCCUUGCAAAACUCUAGAGAUAGAGCAGAG